rnacentral:rRNA from 1 species
CUACGGGUCGCACCAGUGAGGAAUAUUGGUCAAUGGGCGAAAGCCUGAACCAGCCAAUCCGCGUGUAGGAUGACUGCCCUAUGGGUUGUAAACUACUUUUAUACAGGAAGAAACCUCCGGACGUGUUCGGAGCUGACUGUACUGUAAGAAUAAGCAUCGGCUAACUCCGUGGCCAGCAGCCGCGGUAAUACGGAGGAUGCAAGCGUUAUCCGGAUUUAUUAGGUCUAAAGGGUGCGUAGGCGGAUAAUUAAGUCAGUGGUGAAAUCCUACAGCUUAACUGUAGAACUGCCAUUGAUACUGGUUAUCUUGAGUUUAGUUGAGGUAGGCGGAAUGUGUAGUGUAGCGGUGAAAUGCUUAGAUAUUACACAGAACACCGAUUGCGAAGGCAGCUUACUAAGCUAUAACUGACGCUGAGGCACGAAAGCGUGGGGAGCGAACAGGAUUAGAUACCCGCGUAGUC